rnacentral:rRNA from 1 species
UAGGGAAUCUUCCGCAAUGGACGAAAGUCUGACGGAGCAACGCCGCGUGAGUGAUGACGGUCUUCGGAUUGUAAAGCUCUGUUAAUCGGGACGAAUGGUUUGUGUGCAAAUAGUGCAUAGACAUGACGGUACCGGAAUAGAAAGCCACGGCUAACUACGUGCCAGCAGCCGCGGUAAUACGUAGGUGGCAAGCGUUGUCCGGAAUUAUUGGGCGUAAAGCGCGCGCAGGCGGACUAGCCAGUCAGUCUUAAAAGUUCGGGGCUUAACCCCGUGAUGGGAUUGAAACUACUAGUCUAGAGUAUCGGAGAGGAAAGUGGAAUUCCUAGUGUAGCGGUGAAAUGCGUAGAUAUUAGGAAGAACACCAGUGGCGAAGGCGACUUUCUGGACGAACACUGACGCUGAGGCGCGAAAGCCAGGGGAGCGAACGGG